CUCAACCAUGCAUAACUCAGCAAAUUUGAGAGCUUGAUCUCUGGGAGGAAUGUUUUUUAAAGGAAGAUCUUUUUGUAUUUAAUAUAGCUCUCACAAGAACUCAAUGUAACAAAUCGAUAUAUAUUUAUGGUGUCACCAAAGACUUCGGGUGGAUAAGGAGGUGGUGGUGUGAGUUGGAAGGGAAUCGACAGCUUCUUCUUACUCUAAGGAGUGGAGCUGCCUUUUUUUUUCAGUACAAUAAUGAUUCAAACACACAAAAAGAAUCCCCAUGAUGCUAAAUAAAAAAAUACUUUGUGUUUUCUUUUUCUGCUUUUUUUCAGUCUCACCCCGAGAUCACAGCAAAGAAUGGAAAGAAAAAAAUAAUAAUAAUGAGAGUCUGACUUAGUAAAAGCGAAGUUCUUUCUCUGUUAGUAUCACAAAAACAGAGAAGCCCCCAGGCCUUUCAUGUGUAUUCUAGAAGGAAUGCCUGCUUCCAAAAAUGUUUCUUUCAGGGACUUCUUCAGGGACUGCCUGAUCCCUUCACAAUGCUCCUGUUCCUGAUCAAGGAAAAGACAUGUGAUUUUGCAGUCUCCUUUAGCUCUCCUUCAUGGAAAUGAUUCUCUUGACACUGAAACUAAAACAUCGUCUAGGCAUGGCUGAAAAGGAUGUGUGCCAACAUAGGAGACGUCUUGGCUAAGAAAGCGGAGAAGUGACAUGUGCAGACAAGAUGCCAUGGAAGAGAAAGGCAAACACAGACAGAGGCUCCUCCUUGAAAGAAGCUUCAGCACCCGUGGAGAACCCUUGAUCUAUCACGUGCCUGUAGGCUGCAGUGAGAUUCUGUUGAUGUCUUGGGAAACCCACCUUUUCGUGAGAUAGUAAGUGAUAGCUGCAGGUGCUGAAGAUUAAGAACCAGUCACAGAGACUCCUUCAGCACUGGAAAAAAACUUAAACAUUAUAUGAUCCACACUCAGUGUAUAGAUGGGAAAACAUAGAUGAGCGAAGACAAGGUACUACCUAUUACUUAUAAUCUUACAAUUUUCUGCAGAAAUUUUGUGUUUGCACAUAGAGUCCUCCCUAAAGGGAGGGGUGGAACAUUAUUUUUUUUCUCUGUACUUCAUGUGUAGUA